GGAGCGGUUCCUUUUGGAACCAUAAACUGUUUUAGAGGAAUGGAA
rfam:Leptosomus discolor contig26380, whole genome shotgun sequence.